UCAUAACUGAACAGGCUAUUGGGAGGUGGGGCUCAGUAGGAGGAAGUUGGUCACUGAGAUGUGACUUUGGGAUUAUAUCUGGUCCCUGGCCCCUUCCUCUCUGGCUCAGUUUCACCCACCAUGAGUUGAGCUACUUUACUUCAUCACCCUUCUGCAGUGUCUCUGCUUGGAGCCAGCCAACCAUGGACCAAUCCUCAGAAACUGUUUGUGACUGAGUCCUUGAUCGCCACCUGGUGGCUACAUGCUGCAGCCAUUCCCUUUCUAGCAGGGAAACCACACUGGUGAAUUACUUUUUCUCCGGAUACAAACAGGAAAAAACAAAGGCACCAACCGAUGAAACAAAAACCAGAAUCAAGUGACUGUCCUGUAGCCCCGUAAGUGAAGAUACCAAGAACUGCUGUGGAUGCCUUGGCUCUGCGCCUGAGCUCAGCAGAAGAAUUGGUGGAGAGGACUUCCCUUAUUCUGUCCUGAAGCAUCUCCAGGCUUCCGCGGAGUCCCAGGCAGCCACACUCCUUCCAGGACCAAGGAACCCCUUCGUAUGCAAAUACAGCUCCAGGGUGAUGCUUCCAGAAGCAAAGCUCUGCUGUGGGAGGGCUGUUUUCUUCAUCCACUCUAAUCUCUGGGUCCACAUUAUUCCAGGUCCACAGAAGGACCACUGCUGGUUCCUCAGGCCCCGGCUGUCUCUCUAUGAGCUGAAUGGCUGCGGAAGGGAGGAAGCAACUUUCCUUCCCUAGCAGGUCAAAGUAGCUCCAGCAGCAAGUGUGUGCUUGUGUGUGGUUCUCCAUCCUGCACAACGCAAAUCCUCUAUUGUGUUGUGAGACAUCAUGCUGUCUGCUCGGAGCCUGUGCUUUCCCCUCCAUGAGGGUAAGGACAGACCACUUAUGCGGGGAGCAAUGAAACCCAUCCCAACCCCAUUCGCACAUUCUUUUCUUCCCUCGCUCCUGCCUUCUCAGCUCUUGGUAAAGUCAACUCUGUCUCAAAACAAUCACCAGAAAGCAAAUAAAGCACCAAGAU